CAAGUCGUCAAUGUGAGUGAAUCUCUGUCCAUCGUGUCCAUCGUCCGUCAUCUGUUUUGUCUGUUUUCCCACCCUUGUUUUCACUGCUUUGCCGGCUCCCCACCUCAAGAAGACAUUGGCUGUGAAGUUUAAGUUGGUUGGUCACCAGGCUGCUCAUUAUUACACACACCUGUCACCAUUG